rnacentral:tRNA from 1 species
GAGGGUAUAGCUCAGUGGUAGAGCACAUGCUUAGCAUGCACGAGGUCCUGGGUUCACUCCCCAGUACUUCCA